AACGCUAGCUACAGGCUUAACACAUGCAAGUCGAGGGGUAGCAGGGUAGCAAUACCGCUGACGACCGGCGCACGGGUGAGUAACACGUAUCCAACCUUCCCAUAACUCAGGGAUAGCCUUUCGAAAGAAAGGUUAAUACCGGAUGGUACUUUUUCAAGGCAUCUUGAGAAAGUUAAAGAUUUAUUGGUUAUGGAUGGGGAUGCGUUCCAUUAGAUAGUUGGUGAGGUAACGGCUCACCAAGUCUUCGAUGGAUAGGGGUUCUGAGAGGAAGGUCCCCCACAUUGGUACUGAGACACGGACCAAACUCCUACGGGAGGCAGCAGUGAGGAAUAUUGGUCAAUGGGCGAGAGCCUGAACCAGCCAAGUAGCGUGAAGGAUGAAGGUCCUAUGGAUUGUAAACUUCUUUUAUAGUAGAAUAAAGUGAUCCACGUGUGGAUUUUUGUAUGUAUACUAUGAAUAAGGAUCGGCUAACUCCGUGCCAGCAGCCGCGGUAAUACGGAGGAUCCGAGCGUUAUCCGGAUUUAUUGGGUUUAAAGGGUGCGUAGGCGGAAUAAUAAGUCAGUUGUGAAAGUUUGCGGCUCAACCGUAAAAUUGCAGUUGAUACUGUUAUUCUUGAGUGUACAUAAGGUAGGCGGAAUUCGUGGUGUAGCGGUGAAAUGCUUAGAUAUCACGAAGAACUCCGAUUG
rnacentral:rRNA from 1 species